rnacentral:snoRNA from 1 species
GGUGAUGAUGACGCCACGUGACUCUGAGUGUCCCGCUGAUGCCAUCCUCGCAGCGCGCUGACC